AAAAACAUGGCUUUUUGAUUUUAAUUUAAAGUCUGACCUGCUCCAUGAGUUUUAAAUAGCCGCAGUAUCCUGACUGUGCAAAGGUAGCAUAAUCAUUAGUUUUUUAAUUGAAAGCUGGAAUGAAAGGUUUGAUGAGAAAAUAGCUGUCUCUAUAAAAAUUUUAUAGAAUUUUAUUUUUAAGUUAAAAAGCUUAAAUUUAAAUUAAAGACGAGAAGACCCUAUAGAGUUUAAUAUUUAUAAAUAAUGUGUUAUUUUUUAGUAUUUUAAAUUAUAUUAUUUUAUAUUAUUUGGUUGGGGUGAUUAGAAAAUUAGUGAAACUUUUCUUUAAAUUAAAACAUUUAUUUAUGAUAUUAUGAGCCUUUUAUUAAGAUUAUAAGAUAAAAUUACCUUAGGGAUAACAGCGUAAUUUUUUUUGAGAGUUCUUAUCGAAAGAAAAUAUUGCGACCUCGAUGUUGGAUUAAAAUAAAUUUUUGGUGUAGAAGCUAAAUUAAUUAGGUCUGUUCGACCUUUAAAAUUUUACUUGAUCUGAGUU
rnacentral:rRNA from 1 species